UACGUAGGGGGCAAGCGUUGUCCGGAUUUAUUGGGCGUAAAGAGCUCGUAGGCGGUUCCGUAAGUCGUGAAGUCAAAUCUCUGGGCUCAACCCAGAAUCGCUUCCGAUACUGCGGUGACUGGAGUCCGGUAGGGGAGUGUGGAAUUCCUGGUGUAGCGGUGAAAUGCGCAGAUAUCAGGAGGAACACCAAUGGCGAAGGCAGCACUCUGGGACGUGACUGACGCUGAGACGCGAAAGCGUGGGGAGCAAACAGG
rnacentral:rRNA from 1 species